AUCCUUGCAGCUACUAUGAUCAGUGCAGCAACAGAUACUACGACCACCGUGGCACCAGUUACCAAUGUGACUGCAGCAGCAACAACCAUCAUACCUGCAGUGGCCAGUAUUUCUCGACAAGAAUGUGGCUCCUCAAAGCUCUGUGCAGCUGAACCCUCAAAGUGCGAUCCCUCUUCCACAACCUGCUAUUUCGUUUCUGCCAAGCAACAAAGUGGCCAAACGUACAACUUUGAGCUCUCAGGACA